UUCUGAGUAAAAAAUUACUCACCUGAGCAGUACGAAAAAUUGUGACAAGAGAGGAAGAAUAAUUCUAUAUUUAACACUAAUAUAUGUUAUACUAACGUAAACGUGACAUCGCGUGCUAAAAUAUGGGAUGCUCUGGUACCUUAUAGUAAUUUCUAGUAUCGACUACAACUAGGCCAGCACUAUCCGCAGCUCAUAAGCAUUUAUUGGGGCAACAAAGACCAUCACAUGAAAUGAAACUGAUGCAAAUCAAAUUAUACCCAAAACAGCGGCAAUGCGUGGUCAAGAAAACUGCUUUGUCUACAAAUUGUAACAAUUUCUUAACAAUAAAGCAUUGAUUGAUUGAUAUGCACGAAAACAAAAUGAUAAUUUUGGACAGGAUCGACCGUGCCACAAACGAGAAUGUCAAGAAACCAAUGUGUGUUGUGGAUUAUAAUAGUAAAAUGGGUGCCGUGGACCGUUCGGAUAUGCUCAUUAGCAGCAUUGACUGACAGCUUGCAUACGGACAAAUGAAUAAACCCAUACCCAUGUCUGCUGAAACAAAUUCAAGAUUGUCUGAAAGGCACUUUCCAACCUUAGUACCUGCCACUGACAAGUCUAAAAGUGCUUCAAGAAGGUGCAUUGUCUGUUCCCAGACAAAGCUAGGCCAAAAGAAGCGAAGGGUGUCUAGAUAUAUGUGUAAAGACUGCGAUGUGAGAUUAUGCGUGGUUUCAUGUUUCCAAGAAUUUCACACUAAAGCCAAAUUUUGAAUAUUUGAAAUAAAUUAGUUGUUUACUUUUGAUACUGUUUUAGUUUAAGUUGGUUUUUGGGCAGACAAUAAACAUUAUUUAUUUA